UGCCUGCCUGCCUGUCUGUCUGUCUGCCUGUCUGUCUGUCUGUGUGGCAGGCUCUCCAGUCCUGCCUUCCCGUUACCUUGUCAAGCCUCUCCUCCUCGUCCUCCUUACUGCACACCUGCAUCCCAUCUAUAAUCAAGUCUGCAGUGUUUAAACCAUGGCCUGUCCUCCAUUCUUUGACACAUUGUCUACUCACCCUGAGUGGUAGCUAGAGUCUGUCCCUUAAAUUAAUACGUUUUUCUUUCUGUCUUUUUUUUUUCUCCUGCCUGAGUGUUUUUGUCCGCCCGUCUGCCACAACCUCUGGAUUAUCCACCAUUACUGCUUUGUUUUUUUUGGACCAUAAACCAGCUCCUGUGUUUAUUGUGUUGCUCUUGGAUCCAGUCCUUCAUUUAAAUCACAAACACAAACUUUUGUUUCAUCAUUUACCACAAGCCCCCUGCGGAAGUCCCAGUGGUCGGCUGCAGCGAGUUGUUUGAAGGUGUCCUCCACUAGCAGAUGUCGGUGAUGCCCCUGGGGACAGACCAGGAAACCGGGCUGAGGGCAGUCUGAGCACCGAACUGUCCACUGGAGCCGUCUCCCCACCAGAUCAGCUGCACCAUGAUAACACCAUGGACUGUAAAUAAUGACGAGUACACCUGGUGUGUUGAUGGAAUCUGUUGUGGAACGCCCUUUUGAUGUUGCAUUCAAGUGCUGCCGGGAAAUAUUACAAUCGCGUCAAGUCUUUCAACUCUUAUUGUGUGAGUUCAGGAUAUUGUUUGGAUCUGUGAUGAUAGUUAAAAUGGUUUUACACGACCACACUUGUUAAAUAAAUAAAACAAACUUGUU